UUUCCCCCUUUUUUUUUUCCUCUUCCUUUCUGAUCAUUUUUAACCAUUUUAGUUUUAAUUAGCCAUUUUUCUCUUUACUCUCCUAAUAAAUAUUAGGCAGAGUAAAUUCAAGCACUGGACCUUUUUCUGGCAUAGUGAGUUUCUCACUCUCGAUUGCAUGUUGUAAUUCUGAUAUAAAAUACUGUAAAACUGUAAAUUAUCUUCUGCUUGAUGUAAAUUUGGCUUGUAAAGUUGUAGAUUCUGUACAAGGAACAUGUAAGCCUUAUAAUGGCAUAAUCCAACAAGGAUAUUUCGUUUUGAUCAGUAUAUGAGCUCUGCGAGAAGAGGCCUCCAAUCGAUUUUGUCAAUGUAGUACUGGCUACUGGGUAAUGUUUUUCAGUAACGUGCUUGAAAGAGCUCUUUGCCCCAACCACACGCCAAACUUCAUCGUUGGUCAAUACAAGAUUGACCUGUGGCACAACAAGUCCUUCUGGAUAGCUAGUAACCAUCGUCGAUGAAUUAAAACAAACACCGAAAGGUUUAACGGAAGCAACGCGGGUGAUAUUCAUGGCUUUAUCCCUCUUCACAUAAGGACUAGUGAAAGCCUUAUUGAUGUCUCCAUAGCAGUAAAAGGAAUUAGAGUGCUGAAUUUCGUUCCACCAACUCCAUUUUUUCUGUUAAUAGAUAACAAACUUUUGUGUAUUGCGACUUUUUCAUCAUCUAUCUUGAUUGAGUUGACACCAAUGUAGUAAUCGCUAGAAAAAUCUUGAUGAGUGGGGUGUAAAUGAAAGAAGGCCUCAACCUUUUCCU